rnacentral:rRNA from 1 species
UACGUAGGGCGCAAGCGUUUGUCCGGAAUUAUUGGGCGUAAAGAGCUCGUAGGCGGCUUGUCACGUCGGGUGUGAAAGCCCGGGGCUUAACCCCGGGUCUGCAUUCGAUACGGGCUGGCUGGAGUGUGGUAGGGGAGGAUCGGAAUUCCUGGUGUAGCGGUGAAAAUGCGCAGAUAUCAGGAGGAACACCGGUGGCGAAGGCGGAUCUCUGGGCCAUUACUGACGCUGAGGAGCGAAAGCGUGGGGAGCGAACAGG